rnacentral:rRNA from 1 species
GACGAACGCCGGCGGCGUGCUUAACACAUGCAAGUCGAACGGAAAGGCCCUGCAUUUGUGGGGUGCUCGAGUGGCGAACGGGUGAGUAACACGUGAGUAACCUGCCCUUGACUUUGGGAUAACUUCAGGAAACUGGGGCUAAUACCGGAUAGGAGUUCCUGCUGCAUGGUGGGGGUUGGAAAGUUUCGGCGGUUGGGGAUGGACUCGCGGCUUAUCAGCUUGUUGGUGGGGUAGUGGCUUACCAAGGCUUUGACGGGUAGCCGGCCUGAGAGGGUGACCGGCCACAUUGGGACUGAGAUACGGCCCAGACUCCUACGGGAGGCAGCAGUGGGGAAUAUUGCACGAUGGGCGGAAGCCUGAUGCAGCAACGCCGCGUGCGGGAUGACGGCCUUCGGGUUGUAAACCGCUUUCGCCUGUGACGAAGCGUGAGUGACGGUAAUGGGUAAAGAAGCACCGGCUAACUACGUG